rnacentral:snoRNA from 1 species
CAUCUCCAGCUUCCUUACUUGUCCAGUCUAAAUACUGGGCUGAGAGGCUUAAAAGGGGGGAAAGGUAUAACUGAAAUGGACUUAGAUUCUUUAGUGACAUACAAAUUCAUUUCAAACACAU